CCGGCGCGGCGGCACUCUUUCUCAGCCUCCUCGGUAGGGACUGAGGCUUUCGGGACGGUGGCGGGAAGAUGGCGGCACCCAGGGAUUGGCUGGGAACAGUGGAAGCAGAGGGAAGCGCGGGGCGCCAGGCGAGCUCAGGAGUGGAGGUGGUAUUUCCUUCCGAUCCCGCCACCCCCGCCCCGCUGUGUCCUCACGGACCUACUCUUCUGUUUGUAAAGGUGAACCAAGGGAAAGAAGAAACACGGAGAUUUUAUGCCUGCUCAGCCUGUAGAGAUAGAAAAGACUGUAAUUUUUUUCAGUGGGAAGAUGAAAAGUUGUCAGGAGCUAGACUUGCUGCCCGAGAAGCUCAUAACCGAAAAUGUCAGCCUCCUCUGUCCCGAACGCAGUGUGUGGAAAGGUACUUGAAGUUUAUUGAGUUGUCCCUGUCUCAGAGAAAGUUUUGUCAACGAUGUCAGCAAUUGCUGUUGCCAGACGAUUGGGAGAAGCAUCAGGAGCAUCGAGUAGUAGGCGAUAUUUCUAUCACCCAGUUGAAAAGGCCCAGUCAGCUUCUUUAUCCAUUGGAAAACAAGAAGACAAAUGCCCAGUAUUUGUUUGCUGAUCGGAGCUGUCAGUUCUUGGUAGACCUACUUUCUACCCUUGGAUUUACAAGAGUACUAUGUGUUGGAACACCAAGGUUGCAUGAGCUGAUCAGAUUGAAAGCAUCAGGUGAAAAGAAGUCUAACAUUAAAAGCCUUUUAUUGGAUAUUGAUUUUAGGUAUUCACAGUUUUAUAUGGAAGAUAGCUUUUGCCAUUAUAACAUGUUUAACCAUCACUUCUUUGAUGGAAAGGCUGCCCUUGAAGUAUGCAGAACAUUUUUAAAGGAAGAUAAAGGUGAGGGAGUCAUUAUGGUGACAGAUCCUCCUUUUGGUGGCUUGGUUGAACCUCUGGCUGUUACAUUCAAGAAGUUAAUUGCUAUGUGGAAAGAAGGUCAAAGCCAAGAUAGCAGUCACAAAGAACUACCCAUAUUCUGGAUUUUCCCUUAUUUUUUUGAAUCCCGAAUUCAUCAGUUUUUUCCAAGCUUCUGCAUGCUGGAUUACCAGCGCUUCCAUAGGACGUUUAUUUGUGUGGAUGAAGCUAUGAAAUAUGGAUGUAUGUUAGAGGUAGAUUAUGAUAAUCAUGCACUUUAUAAACAUGGGAAGACAGGUCGAAAACAGUCUCCUGUGCGUAUUUUCACCAAUAUUCCACCCAACAAAAUAAUCCUUCCUAGCGAAGAAGGGUACAGAUUUUGCCCUCUUUGUCAACGAUAUGUUUCCCUAGAGAAUCAACACUGUGAGCACUGUAAUUCUUGUACCUCCAAGGAUGGCAGGAAAUGGAACCAUUGCUUUCUCUGCAAAAAGUGUGUAAAACCUUCCUGGAUCCACUGUAGCAUUUGUAGUCACUGUGCUCUUCCAAAUCAUUCUUGCGGGGGCCCUAAAGAUGGCUGCUUUAUUUGUGGUGAAUUAGACCACAAACGCAGUACUUGUCCUAAGAUCGCUACAUCUAAGAAAGCGAACAAAGCUGUCAGAAAGCAGAAGCAAAGAAAAAGUAAUAAGAUGAAAAUGGGGACCACUAAAGGACAAUCCAUGAAUCAUACAUCUGUUACAAGGAAGAAGAACAAGAGAGAAAGAGCCCAUCAAUAUCUUUGCUCUUAAAUGUCCAGUGACUUGAGAAUAAGAAAGAUUUAUAGUCCAACCUUUGAUGCCAUUUUCUGCAAGUGCCACACUGGACUUAAAUUCUGUCGCUUUCAAAGAGACAAACAGAACACCCCGGAUUUAGACUCUCUGCCAGGAUGGACCGUCUUCCAAAUGCCUUUUGUACUUAAAACUUAGGUAAUUGUGAUUGAUUGUCCUAUUGAACACUGUUGAUUGGUUGCAUCAGCAGGAUCUUUCCCAUCCUCUCCAUCGUGUGCCUGCCGUGGGGUUUGGGAGAGAGAUGACUGAUAUCCUCUUCAGCUCUUGGGGAGGACUUUUUAUUGGGCAUAGUUCCAUACCCCUUACCUGUGACUGAUUUCAGGUAGGCUCAUGAUAGGGGUUGGUCUAAUUACAGCAAAACUCAGGACUUCAGCCUUGUGAUUGGUGAAGAGGUGUUUGUUCUCUCUCUGAAUGCAGACGCAUGUAGAUCCAGUUGUUGUUGAUAGCUUUCCACUGACCACAUGGGGACCCAGACUUAUGAUGAUGUACGCCCUGAGCUUGGUCCCUGAUGACUCCAGGUUGCUGGAUCUAGCCUGACCUGAAGUUGGCCCUACUUAUGGACUUGUAAUUUACACGGGCCAAUACAUUCUAGUUAUUACUUCUGCCACUUUAAGUUGGGAUUUUUUGUUACCUAAUAAAUGCAAUCAUGGUAGGGCAAGAGAUUCUGACACCAAUUUUCUACAUUUAUCUCUUUCCAGCAAAUUCGGUCAAUUUCUUAUUUUGUAUGUUUCACCUAUUUUAUGACUUCAAAAUAGACCUCUCACAAUAACAGCCUCUCACAUGGCCUAGAUUAGUCAUAUCCCACAUAGUUCCAUCUCCCAUUCUUGUAUACAGUGACUCCCACAUCUUUGCUCAGGCCCUGACUUUUCCCUUUCAAACCUGCCAUUCCAGGUGCCUGUUGGUCAUUACAGAUUUGCACACCACACCUCCACCUGAACAUAGUCCUCACUCAACUCCUUUUCUCUGGUCUGCUUUCCCUCCCUUCCCCUUCAUACUUCCUCAUUACCUCUGCUCUGAUCCAGCAACAACCAUUUCUCUGUUCCCUGAGUCUGCAUACCCAAAUAUCCCAAACUUAGUCUUGACUAUUCCCUUGCUUUCAUUCCCUCAGUCUAAUCAAUAAUCAGUUCUUAGUGUUCUACUUCAGAAACGUCUGGAAUUGUGCCUCCCCCAUCCCCACCUAACUAGUCUUCCUGCCCAUCUUUACACCUGCAGUCAUCACCCCUGUCACAUGAGUUCAGGUCCUGAAUAACCAAUGAACCAGUGUGAUGCAACCAACAAUAUGGACCCCGCCCCCCCCCCCCCCCCCCUGUAAAUCUGUUGACAGCUGCCUGGCCCUUCAAAAGCCAAUCCUAUACCAUUUCUAUCUCCUGCCCUUACCUCCUUAAAAAGCACCUGGGUAUUCUUCCCUUUUCCUCUUGAUUCUGUACCACAGAAGCCUAAGUAUAAACCAAUUUGCCAAAGCAAUGUUUUCCUUAGAGAACGGGGAAGGCAAAGAAGAGGAGUAAAGCCCAAAAUAUCUUUUAUGGGUCAGUGGGAAAAGAAAAGGCUGGAAACACUGUGUUAGUGGCUACUUUGUCCUAUGGCUACUUUGGAUAAUUUACAGUGUCCCCCAGUCCCACCAGUAUACAUGAGGUGCUACGGCCACAUAAAAUCAUCUGUUUCCUGGCCACAUCUGGAACUCCACUGCUACGCUGGUUCCUGGGCUAUAAUACCUUCUGGGAAAUUCUCUGUGAAUGCACUACUCUCUGUCUGGUAGCACUGAGUGUAUACCCCUAUUAGUCCUUCUCGUGUUAUAUGAGGGUUCAUAAUCAGGAUAAGUUUCAAGAAAAUGGGCAUUCGAUUUCCGUAAGAAUGUUAGGUGGAUGGAUAUUGCCUACUCCCUAUCUCCCCUCCACCCCAGCAUCCAGAUUAUCCAUUACUGCCACCCCAGAACAUUAAAUAAUGCCUAAAAAUGCAUUUUAUCAAUAAUAAAGGCAAGUCCAUUCUCACC